rnacentral:rRNA from 1 species
CAGUCGCCGCGGGAAUACGGAGGGUGCAAGCGUUAAUCGGAAUUACUGGGCGUAAAGCGUGCGUAGGCGGUUCGUUAAGUCUGUUGUGAAAGCCCCGGGCUCAACCUGGGAAUGGCAAUGGAUACUGGCGAGCUAGAGUGUGUAAGAGGAUGGUGGAAUUCCCGGUGUAGCGGUGAAAUGCGUAGAGAUCGGGAGGAACAUCAGUGGCGAAGGCGGCCAUCUGGGACAACACUGACGCUGAGGCACGAAAGCGUGGGGAGCAAACAGGAUUAGAUACCCCCGUAGUCCCUGUCUCUUAUAC